UACGAACUGUGCGAACGUUAUUCGGAAUCACUGGGCUUAAAGGGUGCGUAGGCGGCUGCCUAAGUCAGGUGUGAAAUCUCUCGGCUCAACCGGGAAACUGCGCUUGAUACUGGGCGGCUCGAGUGAGGUAGGGGUGUGUGGAACUUCCGGUGGAGCGGUGAAAUGUGUAGAUAUCGGGAGGAACACCAGUGGCGAAGGCGACUUCCUGGCCUGUUCUUGACGCUGAGGCGCGAAAGCUAGGGUAGCAAACGGG
rnacentral:rRNA from 1 species